rnacentral:lncRNA from 9 species
GAUAAAGGAGAUUCAUACUUUUAUUUCUCACACGUGCUGAAUUCUACCUUUUCAUCUCGAAUCACGCAGGUGGAGGGUCUACACCACCUGAAUUAAUGAACCUCCUCACGGGUCGACACACGGAUCCAUCCACGUCGCCAUGAACAAGACGUCUGCUUCCCGAAUAGAAAAGCCACUGUCCACACCAAUGCAAAGGCAUCCACCGCCUUGAAAGUUGAGGAGACGUUCUAAAGCCUUCAAGGAAAGGCCUCCGUCAAGGUGAAGGAGAUGAGAUGGGGUACCAGUUGAGACGAGAGUGAAUUUCCACCGCUCACCCACCUGUGCCCAGGUUUGGACGGGAGGUGGCAUCCUGCAGCGCUCUGGCCCUGGCGAGCCACGUCCUCAGAAGGUGCCUCCCGUGUGCGUGGCCAUGCCAGCUUUGUUUGGACCUCUUAAAACCCACAGCCUCAUCCUGGCAGGCUUUUCCUUGACCACCUGCUCUAAAAGGUGAGGAUGGGUCUCUCCUGUUACUGAAAGAGCUUUUCUUAUGGCACUCGUGGGCUA